GGGGAUUUAGCUCAGCGGCAUAAGCGCCUGCCUUGCAAGCAGGCAGUCGUGAGUUCAAUUCCUG
rfam:Cavia porcellus supercont2_38 genomic scaffold, whole genome shotgun sequence.